GUGUGUGCCUGUCGGGUUUGUUCCAGCCUGGAGGAAAGUCUGAGCAGCCUGACUGUGAGCGCUGAGAGUCCGGAGGGCGAAGCGUUGAGCCUGUCUGGAGCUGCUCAGCAGCUCAGCCUGUGUGUGAGCAGGAAGGACCUGCAGAACGCAGCCUCGGCCCUCCUGCAGGUGGAGGAGGCCGUGGAGUCGUUCAUCCCCGUCUGUCCCGUCCUGCGCUAGAGCAGCACCAGCGCCUCACGGUGGCCGCCAACAGCAAAGCGCAUCCACUCUCCCGCCGCCAGCAAGUCUGAGCCGCCUGGCGUCUGAAAAAUAACACCGGCGUUCACGUCCACUCCUGCUCUGCUGUUAGGUUUAACGUUUUUACUUCUUUAAAAUCAUUCAGCGCUGUCACCGAUCCAAUUAAACACCUGUAGUGUUUUCCA